rnacentral:rRNA from 1 species
GAGUUUGAUUCUGGCUCAGGAGGAACGCUGGCGGCGUGCCUAACACAUGCAAGUCGAGCGAGAAAUAAAGAAACGGAGAAUUCGUUCAAAGAUUCUUUAUGGAAAGCGGCGGACGGGUGAGUAACGCGUAGGCAACCUGCCUCAUACAAAGGGAUAGCCUCGGGAAACCGGGAUUAAAACCUUAUAAAACCGAAGGAGCACAUGCUUCAUCGGUCAAAGAUUUAUCGGUAUGAGAUGGGCCUGCGUCUGAUUAGCUGGUUGGUGAGGUAACGGCUCACCAAGGCGACGAUCAGUAGCCGACCUGAGAGGGUAAACGGCCACAUUGGAACUGAGACCCGGUCCAAACUCCUACGGGAGGCAGCAGUGGGGAAUAUUGCACAAUGGGCGAAAGCCUGAUGCAGCAACGCCGCGUGAGUGAUGAAGGCCCUUGGGUCGUAAAACUCUGUUGAGAGGGAAGAAAAAAAUGACG